UACGAAGGGAGCUAGCGUUGUUCGGAAUCACUGGGCGUAAAGGGUGCGUAGGCGGGUUUCUAAGUCAGAGGUGAAAGCCUGGAGCUCAACUCCAGAACUGCCUUUGAUACUGGAAGUCUUGAGUUCGGGAGAGGUGAGUGGAACUGCGAGUGUAGAGGUGAAAUUCGUAGAUAUUCGCAAGAACACCAGUGGCGAAGGCGGCUCACUGGCCCGAUACUGACGCUGAGGCACGAAAGCGUGGGGAGCAAACAGG
rnacentral:rRNA from 1 species